rnacentral:lncRNA from 1 species
UUUUGACCCCAGUUGUUAUUUUGUAAUUUUCAAAAUGAUCCCUGCCUUGCCGUGUCUUGACUUCAGUUAACCAUGUCUAAAAGUGUCUUGAUCAUAUCCAAAAUGUGUCUUGACCGUUGACCUGUGUUCAAGCCUUGUCCGAGGUGUGUCCGCGUGUUUGACACUCCGACACGUCGGCCUGAUAGAGUGUCGUACUAUAUAGUUUUCACCCACCAUUAUUCCUAAAAUACUCUUUAAUUAUUAAUUCAAGCAUAUUCUCAAUAAAAAUAAAAUUAAAGCCGAGUUGGUGACAUUAGUAAGUUGGGUGUGCUAAAUAAGCAAUCCCUCCUGCACCAUGGCUUUCUAUCAUGCUUAUUAUUCAUUUAGUAUUGUAUGGGAUAAAGCCUAACCAUAGGCAAAGGAUUAACGGCCCCUUUGUUGGGACUGCUGGCAAUCACCUUGGAUAAGCAAUCCCAUAAAAAUGCCAGGAAUUAAUAAGCCUACUUUUAAUUAAUUAUAGAUCUCGUUAUUUCUUUCAACCUUGUAAAAGAGAUGGAGAUCAAUUGAGAUGGGCAUGAGACGUGAGGUUACAGACCUUAGAAAAGUUAGGGUUAAUUUCAAUUUUAAUUUUAGUGAAAACUGUUUUGAGAAAUGAAUAAAAUAAAAUAAGUGGGUUAUGUAAGUGGAGGUUUUUUUUCUUAAAUUCUUAUAAGUCAUUUUAUAAAGAGAUAAAUUUGUCCUUAAAUUUUAAAGUUAAAGUAAGUGGAAAAAUAAGAUAUGAAAUGGAAAUAGCAGCACUUACAAAUUUAGAGGGAUAAUAUAACACAAACUCCGAUGUGUGCAAAGCCCAAUAUUUGGUGUUUUUGACAAAAACCAGCCACAGUAAAUUAAGUCUGCUCUGUCUCUGCUGGACCAAAGUCCUUCUUCUCCACACCCUUUUCCUUCAAAAGACUGAAAGUGGCCACCAUUUUGAAAAUGAACACACACCAAACUUGGAACCCAAACAAGUGCACAAGAUGCUCUUUGACUGUCUGAUUUGUCCAAUUGGUGCUGCCACAAAACUGCAAAACCAUCCAAUCUGAAAUUAUGAAAAUUAUGAAAAUCAUGCAGAGAGAGAGAGAGAGAGAGAGAUCAAAUAGGGGACCAUUUGUCAUUAAAUUAAUAUAAUUUUUUAUUCAUUUAUAAUAUGCAAUAAGUUAUUUUUCUUCUCCACAUCAGUGUCUGCUCGCGAUUCCCAAUGGAGGAGGGGAGGUAAAGGCUAAAGAAAGUGGGAGAAGCAAAGAAGAAUUAUUGGGGAAAAUAUGUCUGUUUGCUUGCUGGGUUUGGUGGUAUUAUAAUAUAGCUAGCCAGGUACAAGUAUUAUAAAUGUGGCUGUGGGGAAGAAGAUAAGGAACCAGUGAUAAUGCAAAGUUAAAAAUCCCACCCAACAGCAAGAUCUCUC